UGAGUGCAAUCAGUUUUGCUUUCUGGCCUGA
rnacentral:piRNA from 1 species